GAUGAACGCUGGCGGCGUGCCUAAUACAUGCAAGUCGAGCGAACAGAUGAGGAGCUUGCUCCUCUGACGUUAGCGGCGGACGGGUGAGCAACACGUGGAUAACCUACCUAUAAGACUGGGAUAACUUCGGGAAACCGGAGCUAAUACCGGAUAAUAUAUUGAACCGCAUGGUUCAAUAGUGAAAGACGGUUUUGCUGUCACUUAUAGAUGGAUCCGCGCCGCAUUAGCUAGUUGGUAAGGUAACGGCUUACCAAGGCAACGAUGCGUAGCCGACCUGAGAGGGUGAUCGGCCACACUGGAACUGAGACACGGUCCAGACUCCUACGGGAGGCAGCAGUAGGGAAUCUUCCGCAAUGGGCGAAAGCCUGACGGAGCAACGCCGCGUAAGUGAUGAAGGUCUUCGUAUCGUAAAACUCUGUUAUUAGGGAAGAACAAAUGUGUAAGUAACUAUGCACGUCUUGACGGUACCUAAUCAGAAAGCCACGGCUAACUACGUG
rnacentral:rRNA from 1 species